AAACCUCUUAGAACCCUUUGGUAGGCAUCAACACAAGUCCCAAGCAAUCUUCCAAAAAUGGUUUUGCUCCAUUGUAAGCUUAGAACGAGUCCUCCAUGCAUGUCCUUGUACCCUCAAUAUGACCAAAGCUUGAAUCUUCAUGUAUGGGCCUCGAAUGAUGUCAUCAAAAGCUAUGAUGGCCCUUUGGCUCAUAUCAUCCUCCCCUUCUUGAAAAGGAUUCAAGCUCGAAUCCACACCUUGCAAAACAUAAGAAAGGACAAACAAGCACAACAUCCUCAUGGCAUGAGGGUUAGGAUUAGUACAACAAAUAACAUCAUCAUGCCAAGAGGGUACACGCUUGAAAUAUAACCAUGAAUCCUUUGUUUUAGUCAUGAAAAGCUCAGUGAAAAUGUCACAAAGGAGAUGGCUAUGAAAAGUAUCAAGAGAUAAAGAAACCACAAAGGUCUUAAUGGUAUCACUAAAUCCAAAAGGUAAGACUACCUUUAUCUUAUGAACCAUAAGACACAAUUGUUUCAUUACCUCUUCAAGUGUACUCAUCAAAAGUGGUGCCACUAUUGGUCUUGAAGACCACCAAAUCCACAUAGCAUUGUCAUUCAAACAAGUGGACCAACCAACAAGUUCCCUACCUCUACAUAAUACAAAUCCAAAACUAGUAUGGAUGUCAUCAUAGGAAAAGAGGUAGAAUAGGAAGGAAUCAAGUGGAAAGGCAUCAUCCAAGGCGCUAUCAUCUAUAAGAAUGCCAUUUGGCCCAAAAGGUAUAGCACAUAAAGCAUACAAGGAUGGAUUUAAGGCACUUAAGCACAUAUGACCUGUUCCUUUCAAGUAAAGUAUCUAGGGAUGGCAAUGGUGCGGUGCGGUUGCGGUGCGGGUUUUUUCUAAACCCGCAAGUUUUAAAACCGCACCGCAUCACCUUUAAACCCUCAUAAACCCGCCCCACACUCAUACCCGCGCAUACCCGCACCGCCCUGCAUAGCUUAAAACCCGCACCGCCCCGCAUAGCUUAAAACCCGCCCCGCCCCGCACCCACACCGCCCCAUUGCCAUCCCUAAAAGUAUCAACUUGGCAUCCAUAAGUUGGGAAUCAUGCGACUUAAUCACAAGUGUGUCAAGCAAGGAUGUAUAUUUAGUAGCAUUACCUCAAGGAAACAAUUGACACCUUUGCCCGCGGGUUUUCAAGAAUGUCACUUUGCUUGUCAUGUAGACCAAGCAACAAGUUGGGUGUGCCAAGAUCAUCAUAUCCAAAAGCAACAAGUUGGGUGUGCCAAGAUCAUCAUAUCCACAUUUGGCACCGGGGUCAAAUGGAAAGAGCGACCAUAGACAUGGGUCUAGACAACACUCUUUUACCUCAUAGGCUUCACCCAAUCUUAAAAACACAUUCUCUACAAUAGCAUACACAUCAUCAAAAGCAAAUAGAGAGUUGAGAAAGGUAUUACUCAAGUCAACUUCAACUAAGGUGUCCUCAUGUAUGAACUCACUACUAGUUUCAAAAUCAUCACCAUGAGUACUCUCAACAAUAAGGUCACACAAAGUAGAAGAAGAAGUAAUUUCCAAGAAAUGGAAACUUUCUCUUUUUAUGGAAGAACCCUCAAGUAGACACACACCACAACCAAAAUCAAAGGGAUUAUUACUCAAGUCUUCACAAGAAGCAAGCAAUUUAUCUUCAUAGUCAUCAAACAUAGGUGGGGUAUCAUAGGAUCACAACCACAAUCAAUUUUCAAAGAACAGUCACUAUUGGGUUUUUUAAACAUUCAAUUAAAUCAAAGCUAUCAUCACCCAAUUGGCCAUUCCUUUCCAAGACUACACAUUCCUUAUCCUUAAGAGUACUCUCAUCUUUCAAAAAGAGAAUUCUAUCUUUAGGAGGAAUGUUGUCACACCAUAGUGGGUUUGUAUAGAGGCUAUAGCUCUCAAGACAAGCUAUACCUUCAACUUCAUUCUCACCACUAGGUUCAUUAGGAGUGAACUCAUCAUCUUCAAACAAGAUAUUGUCCUUAAAGAGAGAAGGAUGUAUUCAUGAAGAGGAUAUAGACCAUGCAAAUCCAUUCUCUAAAAGAACAUUAUAAAGAAAGAUGUUUCAAGCACAUGAUUAUCCCUAUGAGCAAAACCGAGAGUAGAACAUUCACUGGAGGUCAUGCUAAAGGGGUCACUUCUAUUUAUUUGAUCAAUAUUUUCAACAUCAUUACUCACUUGAGAUCCAUUAAACACAUCACACACAUCCUCAAGUGGUGGACAAAUUUCACACAUAAGUUGAUCAACACAAUUCCCACAAGAUGAUGUACUAUCAUUCAACACAUUGGCUUUAAUACUAGGUAGACAUAAAUUGAUCUUACAAGAAAAGUCAAUUUGGUCAUCAAUAGGAUCAACUAGUGUAUUCACAUUCACAAUAUGUGCAUCAUCAUCAAGGGGAAAAGCAUCAAUAGAUAAUGUAUUAUCAUUCAACACAAUGGCUUCAACACUAGGUGGACUUAAAUUGAUUUUACAAAGAAGAGUCAAUUCGAUCAUCAAUAGGAUCAACUAGUGUAUCCACACUCACAACAAGUACAUCAUCAACAAGAGGCAAAGAAUCAAUAGACUCACAAAUCGGUAAGCUACUACUCACACUCAAUGGGCUACUAGUCACACAAUUAUCAUUCACAUGCACAAAAGUGUAAGAGUUAGCUAUUUUAUCUAGAAAUUCGAGUAGAUUCUUCUUUUACGUGGUGUGAAGGUUUCCCACAUGCUUCGGCAGCAACUUCUCCUUGGCCUUGUGCUCCUCCGCUUGCCAUUUUUGUACUUACACAAAUGUCCUUAGAAAUAGAAGGACAAAUAUAGUUAGCACGGUUUGGUGGCAACCCCCUCACUUCACUCCACACAACCUCUCCUUUUUUCACUCUUGGAUUGCCACCUUGCACUCCCUUACUCCUCUCAAUCUUUUGUCUCUCAUAAUCAUUCGUCUUGGAGUAAGUGAUCACAUCUCUUUUCGGUUUGGGAAGAAUUGAGGUAAAGAGAUAAUUUCCCCAAUGGUCCACUACAACCUUAGGCCAAUUUAGCAUAUUUGGAACUCUAUGUUGUGCAAACCAAUCGGCACCCAAGCAUACAUGACCUGGUGUCAAGGGGAAGAUAUCGCACCAUACCUCCUCAUUGUAUUCAAAUUGGGUGAAGACAAUCCUCACUCUCUCGGUAACCUUAUAUCCAUCCAAGGAAUAUGGAAUUAGUAAAGGUUCUUGAAACAACCCCAAAUAGUAAACCAUGGGUGGCAUGAUGUAGUUUUUAUAACGCCAAUCAUCUAGCACAAGAAGGCAGCCCGGUACCCCAUAAAUGCUUACCUUUCCAGAGUGAAAACUUCUCCUAGGAUCAACAUUGUAGAGUUUAGGACAACCCAUGGGCACAUGAGUACCCCUCGGCCUUGGAGAUGUAUUCUCUUUUCUUCUAAUGGGACAACCUACACUUGCUAGUAUACCCAUUCACAUCACUUCGACCUUGAUAAGAUGUACUACAAGGUGAAGAAUAUGAAUCUUCAUGCUCCACACGUGCACUUUCACCAUGGCUCUCAUAAGCUUUGCGAAGGAAGGGGUUAUACCUUACACCAAUUCUAGGUUCGGAGUGGGAAGUGUAAGACUCCUCACAUGCCUCAACUUUAAUAUAAGAACCAUCACAAGGCCCUACAUCAUCUCCAUAUUCACCAUAAGCACUAGGAACUUCAUUCAUCUCAUUUUCUCCCUCUAAACCAUAACUCUUAAUUCUGCCUAUGUCUUGAUCAUGGCUAUAUUUAUAGCCUCAUAAUCUCCAACAUCAUCGUAGCUAUAAAAUCCCUCACUACAAUCAUAGUCUCCCAUGUUAUAGUCACAAUAAUCCGAGGCUACCAAGAUAUAUUUCCCUUACAUCACCUUGUACCUACAAAAUGAACAAACAAGAUUAGCAGUAAAAGCUCAUUGGAGCGGCGAAUAUUGAAAGUUGCUUAUACUCCGAUAGUCAAUAAGGUGUCAAUCAUUACUUAGCGGCCGGAAUAGAUUCUUGUUUGAUCGACUCAAGACACAAAACAGAAAAAUCUACUUACAAACUUGAAAUAAAGAAUUUCAAUGAAUCAAAACGAGAAAAGCACACAAAGAACGAAAACACGAAGAAAGGACUCAAAACUAAUUCUCAACCUAGUAGAUAGUUACUAGUUUGCCCAUUAGUGAUGGAAUCAACAAAAAUGCAACUAAGAAACAAGAAUAAAAACUAAGAAUCCAAAAAAUUGAGCUAAAAAUAUGGGUGUGCAAAGUGAUGACGUGGCGGCUUGUGAUUGGAUGAUAAUUUGUAAUUUUUUUUGUGUUCUUCACUUUGAUUUUCGGCCAAUCUUCAAUUCCAAGAGUGUAUAUUAAGUUUUGGGGGGAAAUUUCAAGUUUUUUGGAGCCUUUUCAAUCUUCAAAUAAUUUGAAUUGAAUUGGUCCCCCCUUGUACUUGCACUUGUACUUGAUUAUACCUUCCCUUUUGUUGUUUUCUUUCUUUUAGGUGACUAAGAAGGUGCUUGGAAAUUUCCUUAAACAAGUACUACAAUCUCUUUCCUUUUUUUUUUCAAGAUCAAACACCCACUUUUGAAUAUUCUUCCUCAACAAGAUAUGAAGAUGAUGAAGAACACUAAGAACAUUCUAGUGUUGACCAUAAGGCAAAUGACCUCCAAAUUUAAAUUUUCUUGAAGAUCUAAGGUCUUUUGCCAACCCAAACACAAAUAUCACAAAAUUAGUCCAAAAAUGUCACAACCACAAUAGCACAAAAUGUGACCCACCCUCAAAUAGCUUCAAACACAAGCUCAACAAUGGCGGAUGGUUCAAAACACCUCCGAUUUAGCUCAAAUUUUAGAUCUAUACUCUAUUAGUGCUAGGGAACAAGGAUCUAGCACUAGAAACUCACAAAACACACAAAAAUAAAGUAGAUCUAAGAUCUAAAAUUCUGCCCAAACACAAAAACGUGAUACACCUCUUUUUUUUUUUUCUUUUUUUUUUUUGGAUUUUUGGACACUUAUUCUAAUGUUAGGAACAAGGAUCUAAUAUUAGAAACACACAACACACAAAAUCAAGUCUCAAAAAUUGAAAACCCUAAAAAAACGUGAACAUUAACUUUUUUCUUUUUUCUUUUUUUUUUUUUUUUUUUUUUAAUUUUCAAGAUAGCAAUUCCAAGAUUGAUUUUGUUGGAACAAAAUCAAACCUUGCUCUUGAUACCAAAUGAUAUAAGAAUGACCUAAAGAAAUGAAGUCUAAGAGAAACAAGAUAACAAAAAAAUGUAAUAAAGUAAGAUAGAUAGCUUGACAUACGAGAUUACAAGAAAUAGGAACCAAACCGUGUAUCAAAUGAUAAGACCCCUAAGACCCACAAUAACAACGCCGAACUCUUACGGUGACCGCUAAGGAAAGCAACUCCACCUUACAACCACCGUUUCUAAGCAAAGAUCAAUAAUGGCUUUUCCAAGCCCUACUCUACUUGAUUUUUUCAAGCCCUACACUACACUCUCAAAGAGAGAAGAAAAUGUCUUUCAAUGACUCAAAUAUCCAUAAUCAACUAAUGAGAAAAUAAGCCUAAAGAGUCUAUUUAUAGCUUAUUACAUAAAGGACCAAAAUACCCUUAGUAAAAAGGGGCUCCUAUGGAGUGUAAAGAAAAGGCACAAAAAAGACUAAAACACCCUUAAUGAGUGUUUACACUCCAAGGCCGCCCCUCCAAUGCUCCAAAGUCGUGGUCCCUCCUUCAAGCUUCAAAACCCUUUGGUAGGCAUCAACACAAGUCCCAAGCAAUCUUCUAAACAUGGUUUUGCUCUAUUGUAAGCUCGAAACGAGUCCUCCAUGCAUGUCCUUUUACCCUCAAUAUGACCAAAGCUUGAAUCUUCAUGUAUGGGCCUCGAAUGAUGUCAUCAAAAGCUAUGAUGGCCCUUUGGCUCGUAUCAUCCUGCUUGAAAAAUAACACUUGCGCAGCGUUUUUAGUAAGUUUCAUGCCUUUGAAAUUUGUUGCGUUUUUUUUAGUAAAAAUAUCCUUUUUUGGAGAAGGGUAACUAGUGAAAAUAUCGUCUUAAUUAAGAUUUGGUUCAAACAUUACAUGCUUAAGGUAGUCUUU
rnacentral:lncRNA from 1 species